ensembl:lncRNA
CCCAACUUAGCUCUCACUGCUCUCUAACUAGACCAUGGGAAGGCAAAGAAAUUCAGUCCGGCGCCUCUCCGGAGCAGGAUAGCGAGGGGAGCGGGCAGAUGCGGCCGCCAGGAGCUCAGCAUCCCCGGAGCUCUGCCUGCCCCCGCAGACCCCUGCACAACCCCUCUCCCCCUUCCCUGGGCUGCCAGGGCGGACGGGAGCUGGCAGGAAAAGCUGCCACAGUGCGCUAGAUGGGAUUCCUCUCGGGGAAGAGGAGGGACGGGAAAAGGAGAAACCCGCGCGCACUUUCCCUUCCAAUGAUCCCAAUCUCGCCGCGCACUGGAAAAGCCUCUUCUCCCCCCAGACCCCGCCAGGCAAGACCGGGUACGGUAAUUUGGGCUCUCCGCAGGGCACUGGGGAAGCACUCUGCGGGCGGCCCCGCUCAGCCCCCGCGCUUCCCUGCGCUGCCCCGGAGGCUGCGGGAGCCGCGGUGCCCCCGCCUCCGCUCCGCGCUCCGGAGGAUGGAUGUUCCGGGGAUGGAUGCUCCGGGGAUGGAUGCGCCGGGGGAUGCGGCGGAGCGGGCGUUUGGCGCAUCGCUGCCCGGAGGGGAUGGGAUGGGACAGGGUGGGCUGGGCUGGGGGUCACUCACCUCGCUGCAAGGUGACCCGCGGCGCGGUGCUCCCGCAGGGGCGGCUCAGCGCCCCGGCGCUCCGCCCGGCAGCAUCCCCGCGGCGGGGGCGGCGGCGGGCACCGGGCCCGGGGGAUGCACAGCGCCCGCCGAGAAGGGGCUGCGCCGCCUGCACCGCCUCGGCGGCACUGUGCGCUCGGCAGGAGGAGGAGAAAAAGGAGGAGGGACGGAGGGAGAGGGAGAGAGAGGCAGGCGGAGGGAGAGAGGCAGGAGGAGAAGGAGCCCUGCGCGGCAGCGCGGCCAACUUUCCUUCUGCAGCGCAGCAGGAACAGCCUCCCGUCCCUCGGUGUGUAACCCCCGCCCCGGCCCCCCUCAGGACCGGUUACGUAAGACUGAAUGUGUUUGUUUGCUGCCUGCAAGCCCCUCGUGUGCUGGUAACACCUCAAGAGCCUGCAUUCAGAACUGGAGCUGCAGCCCUGCUUGGCUCACACUGCCGGCUCUGCCCUGCACCACCAGGGCUCGUGGGGGGACAGCAGUGUCACUGUCCCCAGCAGAGACACCGUGGUGAGCAGUGUGUGAGAGUCUGUCCGGAUUUUCCCUUAUCUGCCUCACGAUUGUCAUUGGGCGACCACUGAAGAGAAGACCCCCCCGUCUAGAAUCUCUGGCUCUGAAGGAGAAAGUCACAUGCCAAAGGCCCUGAGACCUGAAAGAACAGUGUUAAGCUAUUGUUUUUACAGGUGUGUUUGCUGUGUGCUAAGGGGGCACCGUGCCCUUUUUGCAACAAUAGCCUUGGAAGCUGUCCCACCUCUCGGCCUGGCUGGAGUCCUGAGUUUCAAGUGGUCUCCCACAGAAGACCCUCACCUGUUUCACACCCACCGUGACAGACAGACUGAGAUGUAAGGAGCCUCUCCAUCAAGGACUGAGACAUGAAACUCCCAUGUGAAAAGGCCCCUCUGCUCCUUCCAAGGACUGGGACUGAAACCCCCAGCCCGGGGCAGGUGUGUGGGGGAGGCAAGCUGACCAAAGAGAGAUGUUUGCCUGCAGGUUGUGACCGCUGGACCAAGAAGACAAUGGCUCUCAUUUACUGCGGAGAAUAUGACCCCCCCCCCAUAAUUUUCAAUAGAGUUAUCAUAAUAAAAACCUCUGAGUUAGCUAGAGAUUUUGAGAU